rnacentral:rRNA from 1 species
UACGUAGGGUGCGAGCGUUAAUCGGAAUUACUGGGCGUAAAGCGUGCGCAGGCGGUUUUGUAAGCCAGAUGUGAAAUCCCCGGGCUUAACCUGGGAAUGGCAUUUGGGACUGCAAGGCUUGAGUGCGGCAGAGGAGACUGGAAUUCCUGGUGUAGCAGUGAAAUGCGUAGAUAUCAGGAGGAACACCGAUGGCGAAGGCAGGUCUCUGGGCUGACACUGACGCUGAGAAGCGAAAGCAUGGGGAGCGAACAGG